rnacentral:rRNA from 1 species
AGAGUUUGAUCAUGGCUCAGGACGAACGCUGGCGGCGUGCUUAACACAUGCAAGUCGAACGGUAAGGCCCUUCGGGGUACACGAGUGGCGAACGGGUGAGUAACACGUGGGUGGUCUGCCCUGCACUUCGGGAUAAGCCUGGGAAACUGGGUCUAAUACCGGAUAGGACCAUGGACUUCACGGUUUGUGGUGGAAAGCUUUUGCGGUGUGGGAUGGGCCCGCGGCCUAUCAGCUUGUUGGUGGGGUAAUGGCCUACCAAGGCGACGACGGGUAGCCGGCCUGAGAGGGUGUCCGGCCACACUGGGACUGAGAUACGGCCCAGACUCCUACGGGAGGCAGCAGUGGGGAAUAUUGCACAAUGGGCGCAAGCCUGAUGCAGCGACGCCGCGUGAGGGAUGACGGCCUUCGGGUUGUAAACCUCUUUCAAUAGGGACGAAGCGCAAGUGACGGUACCUAUAGAAGAAGCACCGGCCAACUACGUG